GACGAACGCUGGCGGCGUGCCUAACACAUGCAAGUCGAACGGAGAUACGAUUUCGGUUGUACCUUAGUGGCGAACGGGUGAGUAACGCGUGAACAACCUGACUCUUAGAGGGGGAUAACACUCGGAAACGGGUGCUAAUACCGCAUAAGACCACGACCCGGCAUCGGGAUGAGGUCAAAGGAGCAAUCCGCUGAGAGAGGGGUUCGCGUCCCAUUAGAUAGAUGGCGGGGUAACGGCCCACCAUGUCAACGAUGGGUAGCCGAGCUGAGAGGCUGAUCGGCCACACUGGAACUGAGACACGGUCCAGACUCCUACGGGAGGCAGCAGUGGGGAAUAUUGGGCAAUGGGCGCAAGCCUGACCCAGCAACGCCGCGUGAGGGAAGAAGGCUUUCGGGUUGUAAAGUGCUUUUUGAAAGGAUGAGGAAGGACAGUACUUUCAGAAUAAGCUUCGGCUAACUACGUGCCAGCCGCCGCAGUAACAC
rnacentral:rRNA from 1 species